rnacentral:rRNA from 1 species
UACCAGCACCCCGAGUGGUCGGGACGUUUAUUGGGCCUAAAGCAUCCGUAGCCGGUUCUACAAGUCUUCCGUUAAAUCCAGCUGCUUAACAGAUGGGCUGCGGAAGAUACUAUGGAGCUAGGAGGCGGGAGAGGCAAGCGGUACUCGAUGGGCAGGGGUAAAAUCCGUUGAUCCAUUGAAGACCACCAGUGGCGAAGGCGGCUUGCCAGAACGCGCUCGACGGUGAGGGAUGAAAGCUGGGGGAGCAAACCGG